GAUGAACGCUGGCGGCGUGCCUAAUACAUGCAAGUCGAGCGAACAGACGAGGAUCUUGCUCCUCUUACGUUAGCGGCGGACGGGUGAGUAACACGUGGAUAACCUACCUAUAAGACUGGGAUAACUUCGGGAAACCGGAGCUAAUACCGGAUAAUAUAUUGAACCGCAUGGUUCAAUAGUGAAAGACGGUUUUGCUGUUACUUAUAGAUGGAUCCGCGCCGCCUUAGCUAGUUGGUAAGGUAACGGCUUACUAAGGCAACGAUGCGUAGCCGACCUGAGAGGGUGAUCGGCCACACUGGAACUGAGACACGGUCCAGACUCCUACGGGAGGCAGCAGUAGGGAAUCUUCCGCAAUGGGCGAAAGCCUGACGGAGCAACGCCGCGUGAGUGAUGAAGGUCUUCGGAUCGUAAAACUCUGUUAUUAGGGAAGAACAAAUGUGUAAGUAACUAUGCACGUCUUGACGGUACCUAAUCAGAAAGCCACGGCUAACUACGUG
rnacentral:rRNA from 1 species